UAACGACUCUCGGCAACGGAUAUCUCGGCUCUCGCAUCGAUGAAGAACGUAGCAAAAUGCGAUACGUGGUGUGAAUUGCAGGAUCCCGUGAACCAUCGAGUUUUUGAACGCAAGUUGCGCCCGAAGCCUUUAGGCCGAGGGCACGUCAGCCUGGGCGUCACGC
rnacentral:rRNA from 1 species